rfam:Felis catus isolate Cinnamon breed Abyssinian chromosome B3, whole genome shotgun sequence.
UCCUGGCUGGCUCAGUCAGUAGAGCAUGAGACUUUUGAUCUCGGUGUCAUGAGUUCAAGCCUCAUGUUAGGGA